rnacentral:rRNA from 1 species
GAACCCUUGCACAGGUGCUGCAUGGCUGUCGUCAGCUCGUGUCGUGAGAUGUCGGGUUAAGUCCCUUAACGAGCGAAACCCUUGUCCCUAGUUGCCAGCGGGUCAUGCCGGGGACUCUAGGGAGACUGCCGGUGUUAAACCGGAGGAAGGCGGGGAUGACGUCAAGUCCUCAUGGCCUUUAUGAUCAGGGCUGCACACGUCCUACAAUGCGAUGCACAAAGGGACGCAAGCUCGCGAGAGCAAGCAAAUCCCAAAAAACAUCGCUCAGUUCGGAUUGCAGGCUGCAACCCGCCUGCAUGAAGCUGGAAUCGCUAGUAAUCGCGGGUCAGCAUACCGCGGUGAAUGUGUUCCUGAGCCUU